CAACCCUCAAGCCCCCCCGGGGGCCUGGUGUUGGGGACCGGCCCCGCCCCGUCGCGGGUCGCCGCCCCCUAAAUUCAGUGGCGGUCUUGCCGCAGCCUCCUCUGCGUAGUAGCUUUUGAAACCUCGCACCGGAGCGCGGCUCGGCCACGCCGUUAAACCCCAACUUUCUGAAA
rnacentral:misc_RNA from 1 species